rnacentral:rRNA from 1 species
UACGUAGGGUGCGAGCGUUGUCCGGAAUUAUUGGGCGUAAAGAGCUCGUAGGCGGUCUGUCGCGUCUGCUGUGAAAACCCGAGGCUCAACCUCGGGCCUGCAGUGGGUACGGGCAGACUAGAGUGCGGUAGGGGAGAAUGGAAUUCCUGGUGUAGCGGUGGAAUGCGCAGAUAUCAGGAGGAACACCGAUGGCGAAGGCAGUUCUCUGGGCCGCAACUGACGCUGAGGAGCGAAAGCAUGGGGAGCGAACAGG